AUGGGAACGCGAAGAACCUUACCUACUCUUGACAUCCAGAGAACUUAGCAGAGAUGCUUUGGUGCCUUCGGGAACUCUGAGACAGGUGCUGCAUGGCUGUCGUCAGCUCGUGUUGUGAAAUGUUGGGUUAAGUCCCGCAACGAGCGCAACCCUUAUCCUUUGUUGCCAGCGGUUAGGCCGGGAACUCAAAGGAGACUGCCAGUGAUAAACUGGAGGAAGGUGGGGAUGACGUCAAGUCAUCAUGGCCCUUACGAGUAGGGCUACACACGUGCUACAAUGGCGCAUACAAAGAGAAGCGACCUCGCGAGAGCAAGCGGACCUCAUAAAGUGCGUCGUAGUCCGGAUUGGAGUCUGCAACUCGACUCCAUGAAGUCGGAAUCGCUAGUAAUCGUAGAUCAGAAUGCUACGGUGAAUACGUUCCC
rnacentral:rRNA from 1 species